GAUCAUGGCUCAGGAUGAACGCUAGCUACAGGCUUAACACAUGCAAGUCGAGGGGAAACGAUAUUGGAAGCUUGCUUCCGAUAGGCGUCGACCGGCGCACGGGUGAGUAACGCGUAUCCAACCUGCCCACCACUUGGGGAUAACCUUGCGAAAGUAAGACUAAUGCCCAAUGACAUCCCACGAAGGCAUCCGAAUGGGAUUAAAGAUUUAUCGGUGAUGGAUAGGGAUGCGUCUGAUUAG
rnacentral:rRNA from 1 species